rnacentral:rRNA from 1 species
GACGAACGCUGGCGGCGUGCUUAACACAUGCAAGUCGAACGGAGUGGCGAACGGGUGAGUAACACGUGGGUGACCUGCCCUGCACUUCGGGAUAAGCCUGGGGAACUGGGGCUAAUACCGGGUAGGGUGGGGUGGGCCCGCGGCCUAUCAGGUUGUUGGGGGGGGAAGGGCCUACCAAGGGGGGGACGGGGAGCCGGCCUGGGAGGGUGGACGGCCACAUGGGGACUGAGACACGGCCCAGACUCCUACGGGAGGCAGCAGUGGGGAAUAUUGCACAAUGGGCGGAAGCCUGAUGCAGCGACGCCGCGUGGGGGAUGACGGCCUUCGGGUUGUAAACUCCUUUCACCAUCGACGCGGUAGAUGGAGAAGAAGCACCGGCUAACUACGUGCCAGCAGCCGCGGUAAUC